rnacentral:rRNA from 1 species
UUCCGGUUGAUCCUGCCGGACCUGACUGCUAUUGGAGUAGGACUAAGUCACGCUAGUCAAAGGUGCGGAAUGGAGCACCUGCGUACGGCUCAGUAACACGUAGUCAACCUACCCUAAAGGACGAGGACAACCACGGGAAACUGUGGCUAAUACUCGAUAAGAAAUUUGGCCUGGAACGGUAUCUUUCACAAAACCGGCUCGCCGUGAGACACGGGCCUUAGGAUGGGGCUGCGGCUGAUUAUGCUAGAUGGCGGUGUAAAGGACCACCAUGGCUACGAUCAGUAUGGGCGAUGGAAGUCGGAGCCCAGAGUCGGCUACUGAGACAAGGAGCCGAGCUUUACGAAGCUUAGCGGUCGCGAAAACUCGCCAAUGCACGAAAGUGUGAGUGGGCUACUCCAAGUGUCAUUCUUACGGAUGACUGUCGCACAGUCUUACCAGCUGUGAAAGGAAGGAGAGGGCAAGGCUGGUGCCAGCCGCCGCGGUAAAACCAGCUCUUCGAGUGGUCAGGACGAAUAUUGGGUCUAAAGCGCUCGUAGCCGGACAAGUAGGUUCUUGGUUAAAUCCGACAGCAUAACUGUUGGUCUGCUGGGAAUACCGCUAGUCUUGGGAGCGGGAGAGGACAGAGGUAGUCAUAGGGCAGGGGUGAAAUCCAGUGAUCCUAUGGCGACCACCGAUGGCGAAGGCAUCUGUCUGGAACGUAUCCGACGGUGAGGGGCGAAAGCUAGGGGAGCGACCCGGAUUAGAUACCCGGUUAGUCCUAGCCGUAAACGAUGCGGACUAGGUGUUACAGCGGCCAAGAGCCACUGUAGUGCCACAGUGAAGACGUUAAGUCCGCCACCUGGGGAGUACGGAUGCAAGUCUGAAACUUAAAGGAAUUGACGGGGGCGCACCACCAGGAGUGAAGCCUGCGGUUUAAUUGGAUUCAACGCCGGG